rnacentral:rRNA from 1 species
GAUGAACGCUGGCGGCGUGCCUAAUACAUGCAAGUCGAGCGAACAGACGAGGAGCUUGCUCCUCUGACGUUAGCGGCGGACGGGUGAGUAACACGUGGAUAACCUACCUAUAAGACUGGGAUAACUUCGGGAAACCGGAGCUAAUACCGGAUAAUAUAUUGAACCGCAUGGUUCAAUAGUGAAAGACGGUUUUGCUGUCACUUAUAGAUGGAUCCGCGCCGCAUUAGCUAGUUGGUAAGGUAACGGCUUACCAAGGCAACGAUGCGUAGCCGACCUGAGAGGGUGAUAGGCCACACGGGAACUGAGACACGGUCCAGACUCCUACGGGAGGCAGCAGUAGGGAAUCGUCCGCAAUGGGCGAAAGCCUGACGGAGCAACGCAGCGUGAGUGAUGAAGGUCUUCGGAUCGUAAAACUCUGUUAUUAGGGAAGAACAAAUGUGUAAGUAACUAUGCACGUAUUGACGGUACCUAAACAGAAAGCAACGGCUAACUACGUG